GCACAAUUACAUGUUCUUAUUAUCUUUUCCUCUACAUGACUGUUGAUUUAUUAUCUGUUAUCAGAAUAAAAAUACCCUUUGUACAAGCAUUAUUAUUAAAAAGUACUGUUUUAUACAAUUGUUGUUGUAAUAAGUGCAUGUACACUACCUAUUUCUAAAGAUAUGCCAUAUAGAGGCCUUUAAAACAAAAAUAAUAUAUGUGAAAAAUUGCCUGAAAAAGUGUUAUGCCUAUCAUAUCAUAUUAUAUCUUUUUUUUUUGCCUUAGGACAUACCUUCAACUUGAAUGAUAUUUCACAUUUUGUUAUAAAGUAUAUUUUUACUUAUGUUUCUAUAGUGAAGCGUUCAGUGGAGCUGGUAGACUAUUUUAUUGAACUGUAGGUUGUGUAUACAGUUAAUCUUACCAAGUUUGUUAUAGACCCCUGGGUCAGUUACUAAUAGCUAAAAAGAAAGUUUGUUGUCCAAAAAGGUAGUAAUGACAAUCAAAUUAUACCAGAACACUUUGAAAAUAUGUUUGUGCUAAUGGUAUUUUGGGAAAUGUAAGGAUGUCCUUAUAUCAUG